CCUACGGGUGGCAGCAGUGAGGAAUAUUGGUCAAUGGGCGGGAGCCUGAACCAGCCAAGUCGCGUGAGGGAAGACGGUCCUAUGGAUUGUAAACCUCUUUAGGCGGGGAGCAAUGCCGGGCACGCGUGCCCGGAGGGAGAGUACCCGCAGAAUAAGCAUCGGCUAACUCCGUGCCAGCAGCCGCGGUAAUACGGAGGAUGCGAGCGUUAUCCGGAUUUAUUGGGUUUAAAGGGUGCGUAGGCUGUGAGGUAAGUCAGCGGUGAAAUGCCCCCGCUCAACGGGGUGAAGUGCCAUUGAUACUGCCUUGCUGGAAUGCGGAUGCCGUGGGAGGAAUGUGUGGUGUAGCGGUGAAAUGCAUAGAUAUCACACAGAACACCGAUUGCGAAGGCAUCUCACGAAUCCGCGAUUGACGCUGAUGCACGAAAGCGUGGGUAUCAAACAGGAUUAGAUACCCGAGUAGUC
rnacentral:rRNA from 1 species